GGUGAGUCUGUGGAAUCAAUGUAAUUCCUUCUAGCUAGACUUUUUAACCAGAGAAGGCAAUGGCACCCCACUCCAGUCCUCUUGCCUGGAAAAUCCCAUGGAUGGAGGAGCCUGGUAGGCUGCAGUCCAUGGGGUCGCUAAGAGUCAGACACGACUGAGCGACUUCACUUUCACUUUUUACUUUCAUGCACUGGAGAAGGAAAUGGCAAGCCACUCCAGUAUUCUUGCCUGGGAGAAUCCCAGGGACAGGGCAGCCUGGUGGGCUGCUGUGUAUGGGGUCGCACAGAGUCAGACAUGACUGAAGUGACUUAGCAGCAGCAGCAGCAGCAGACUUUUUAACUAGUGGAUUCCCUACCAACUGAGGCACCAGGAAAGCCCAGCAUCCUUCAUUUCAGGUUAAAUUGCACAUCUGCAGCACAUCCAAGGAGAAAAGUAAGCAAUCAGGGACAGUUCUUCCUUGUGAUACAUCAGCAUUGAGCAAGAAACUGAUAGUGAAGAAUUGGAAGAAAGGGGUCAUUAUCACCGCUGUGUGUCCUGACUGCAAACUGGUACUACUGUACAAGGAGACCAGUCCUGGGUGUUCAUUGGAAGGACUGAUGCUGAGGCUGGAACUCCAAUACUUUGGCCACCUUAUGUGAAGAGUUGACUCAUUGGAAAAGACCCUGAUGCUGGGAGGGAUUGGGGGCAGAAGGAGAAGGGGACGACAGAGAAUGAGAUGGCCAGAUGGCAUGACCGACUCAAUGCACAUGAGUUUGGGUGAACCCUGGGAGCUGGUGAUGGACAGGAAGGCCUGGUGUGCUGCGAUUCAUGAGGUCGCAAAGAAUCGGACACAACUGAGCGACUGAACUGAACUGAACUAUGAAUGUUCAAUGAUGCCUAUUUAAUUUUUUAUAUUCACUUUUUUCCUAGAACCUGUUUAAAAUGAACAAUUUCUUGAUAACUGCCUGAACCCACUAAUCGUUUUCAUUGGAUUUAUUUUAUUAGACACACUAGACUACUUCAAAAUAUCUCUGCUUCACAGGUGAAAGCAACUCAGGAUCAUAUAUAAACACUUUUGAAAACAAUGUUUAGAUUUAUCACAUGAUAUGUAGAAAGCUGAAAAGAAGGAAAAUAUCGUAAAUAUCCAAGGAUUAAAUUUUUGUGUUAUGUUUAUUCAUUCCUAUCUAAUAUUUUAUGUACAUUUGAAAAAAAAUUAUGAGUUGAUGAGUAAUGAUAUUAGUGUUUUAAAAUCACAAAAGCUCUCAUAAAUAUUUAAUACUAUGGAUGAUGCCUCUUUAUUUGGUCUCACUAGGCUCAAAUUUUCUUGAAUUUCUUCUAAAUACUGUAGAUAUUACUAUCUGUUUCUUACAAAUAUCCCAACUUCUUUGCAG
ensembl:lncRNA